rnacentral:rRNA from 1 species
CACGUAGGGCGCAAGCGUUGUCCGGAAUUAUUGGGCGUAAAGAGCUCGUAGGCGGUCUGUUGCGUCCGCUGUGAAAACUCGGGGCUUAACCCCGAGCCUGCAGUGGAUACGGGCAGACUAGAGGUAGGUAGGGGAGAAUGGAAUUCCCGGUGUAGCGGUGGAAUGCGCAGAUAUCAGGAGGAACACCAAUAGCGAAGGCAGCUCGCUGGGACGGUACUGACGCUAAGGCGCGAAAGCGUGGGGAGCGAACAGG